GGACUCUUAGCUCAGUUGGUAGAGCAGUUGACUCUUAAUCAAUUGGUACAGGGUUCGAGUCACUGAGAGUCCA
rnacentral:tRNA from 1 species